UACGUAGGGGGCAAGCGUUGUCCGGAAUCAUUGGGCGUAAAGAGCGUGUAGGCGGCCUGGUAAGUCCGCUGUGAAAGUCCAGGGCUCAACCCUGGAAUGCCGGUGGAAACUGUCAGGCUCGAGUCCGGAAGAGGUGAGUGGAACUGCGAGUGUAGAGGUGAAAUUCGUAGAUAUUCGCAAGAACACCAGUGGCGAAGGCGGCUCACUGGUCCGGUACUGACGCUGAGGUGCGAAAGCGUGGGGAGCAAACAGG
rnacentral:rRNA from 1 species